rnacentral:tRNA from 1 species
CCUGGUUAGCUCAGUUGGUAGAGCGCUCCACUGGAAAUUUAGAGUUGCCUAUUUCGAUACUAGGGCACAGGC